CUGUAAUUGGAAUGAGUACACUUUAAAUCCUUUAACAAGGACCUAUUGGAGGGCAAGUCUGGUGCCAGCAGCCGCGGUAACUCCAGCUCCAAUAGCGUAUAUUAAAGUUGUUGCGGUUAAAACGUUCGUAGUUGAACUUGUGCUUCAUACGGGUAGUACAACUAUAAUUGUAGUUUGUACUUAACCUUAUGUAUGUAAGCGUAUUACCGGUGGAGUUCUUAUAUAUAAAUGCUUUAUUUUCCUCCUAUAAAAACCUGCUUCAGUGCUCUUUACCGAGUGUUGUUGUAGGCCGGUACAAUUACUUUGAACAAAUUAGAGUGCUUAAAGCAGGCUCCAAAUGCCUGAAUAUUUUGUGCAUGGAAUAAUGAAAUAAGACCUCUGUUCUACUUUCAUUGGUUUUUAGAUCAAGAGGUAAUGAUUAAUAGAAGCAGUUUGGGGGCAUUAGUAUUACGACGCGAGAGGUGAAAUUCUUGGACCGUCGUAAGACUAACUUAAGCGAAAGCAUUUGCCAAAGAUGUUUUCAUUAAUCAAGAACGAAAGUUAGAGGUUCGAAGGCGAUCAGAUACCGCCCUAGUUCUAACCAUAAACGAUGCCAGCUAGCAAUUGGGUGUAGCUACUAUUAUGGCUCUCUCAGUCGCUUCCCGGGAAACCAAAGCUUUUGGGCUCCGGGGGAAGUAUGGUUGCAAAGCUGAAACUUAAAGGAAUUGACGGAAGGGCACCACCAGGAGUGGA
rnacentral:rRNA from 1 species